GCGAGGUGGUACUAAUCCUAGAAAGUUCUUCGUAGUCCGGAUUGGAGUCUGCAACUCGACUCCAUGAAGUCGGAAUCGCUAGUAAUCGCGAAUCAGCAUGUCGCGGUGAAUACGUUCUCGGGUCUUGUACACACCGCCCGUCACACCAUGGAAGUGGAUUGCACCAGAAGUAGAUAGUCUAACCUUCGGGAGGGCGUUUACCACGGUGUGCUUCAUGACUGGGGUGAAGUCGUAACAAGGUAGCCGUAGGGGGAACCUGUGGCUGGAUCACCUCCUU
rnacentral:rRNA from 1 species